rnacentral:tRNA from 2 species
GCCGUCAUAGCUCAGUUGGUAGAGCGGCUGUCUUGUAAGCAGCGGGUCGAUGGUUCGAAUCCUUCUGGCGGCUCCA